rnacentral:rRNA from 1 species
CACUCCUACGGGAGGCAGCAGUGGGGAAUUUUGGACAAUGGGCGAAAGCCUGAUCCAGCAAUGCCGCGUGAGUGAAGAAGGCCUUCGGGUUGUAAAGCUCUUUUGUCAGGGAAGAAACGGUGAAAGCUAAUAUCUUUUGCUAAUGACGGUACCUGAAGAAUAAGCACCGGCUAACUACGUGCCAGCAGCCGCGGUAAUACGUAGGGUGCAAGCGUUAAUCGGAAUUACUGGGCGUAAAGCGUGCGCAGGCGGUUUUGUAAGUCUGAUGUGAAAUCCCCGGGCUCAACCUGGGAAUUGCAUUGGAGACUGCAAGGCUAGAAUCUGGCAGAGGGGGGUAGAAUUCCACGUGUAGCAGUGAAAUGCGUAGAUAUGUGGAGGAACACCGAUGGCGAAGGCAGCCCCCUGGGUCAAGAUUGACGCUCAUGCACGAAAGCGUGGGGAGCAAACAGGAUUAGAAACCCUGGUAGUCCCAU